rnacentral:rRNA from 1 species
UACGUAGGCAGCGAGCGUUGUUCGGAGUUACUGGGCGUAAAGCGUGCGUAGGCGGUGUCUUAAGUUUGUUGUGAAAUCUCCCGGCUUAACCGGGAGGGUGCGGCGAAUACUGAGAUGCUGGAGUGCCGGAGAGGUAAGCGGAAUUCCUGGUGUAGCGGUGAAAUGCGUAGAUAUCAGGAGGAACACCUGCGGUGUAGACGGCUUACUGGACGGCAACUGACGCUGAGGCACGAAAGCGUGGGUAGCAAACAGG